GUGGGUAGUUUGACUGGGGCGGUCUCCUCCCAAAGCGUAACGGAGGAGCACGAAGGUUAGCUAAUCCUGGUCGGACAUCAGGAGGUUAGUGCAAUGGCAUAAGCUAGCUUGACUGCGAGCGUGACGGCGCGAGCAGGUGCGAAAGCAGGUCAUAGUGAUCCGGUGGUUCUGAAUGGAAGGGCCAUCGCUCAACGGAUAAAAGGUACUCCGGGGAUAACAGGCUGAUACCGCCCAAGAGUUCAUAUCGACGGCGGUGUUUGGCACCUCGAUGUCGGCUCAUCACAUCCUGGGGCUGAAGUAGGUCCCAAGGGUAUGGCUGUUCGCCAUUUAAAGUGGUACGCGAGCUGGGUUUAGAACGUCGUGAGACAGUUCGGUCCCUAUCUGCCGUGGGCGCUGGAGAAUUGAGGGGGGCUGCUCCUAGUACGAGAGGACCGGAGUGGACGCAUCACUGGUGUUCGGGUUGUCAUGCCAAUGGCACUGCCCGGUAGCUAAAUGCGGAAGAGAUAAGUGCUGAAAGCAUCUAAGCACGAAACUUGCCCCGAGAUGAGUUCUCCCUGAGACUUUAAGUCUCCUGAAGGAACGUUGAAGACGACGACGUUGAUAGGCCGGGUGUGUAAGCGCAGCGAUGCGUUGAGCUAACCGGUACUAAUGAACCGUGAGGCUUAACCUU
rnacentral:rRNA from 3 species